rnacentral:rRNA from 1 species
UUCCAGACUCCUACGGGAGGCAGCAGUGAGGAAUAUUGGUCAAUGGGCGGGAGCCUGAACCAGCCAAGUCGCGUGAGGGAAGACGGUCCUAUGGAUUGUAAACCUCUUUUGUCGGGGAGCAAAGAGGCCACGUGUGGUCAAAAGCGAGAGUACCCGAAGAAAAAGCAUCGGCUAACUCCGUGCCAGCAGCCGCGGUAAUACGGAGGAUGCGAGCGUUAUCCGGAUUUAUUGGGUUUAAAGGGUGCGCAGGCGGAGGUGCAAGUCAGCGGUCAAAUUGCGGGGCUCAACCCCGUACUGCCGUUGAAACUGCAUCCCUUGAGUGCGCGAGAAGUAUGCGGAAUGCGUGGUGUAGCGGUGAAAUGCAUAGAUAUCGCGCAGAACUCCGAUUGCGAAGGCAGCAUGCCGGCUCCACACUGACGCUGAGGCACGAAAGCGUGGGUAUCGAACAGGAUUAGAUACCCCAGUAC